UACGGGGGGAGCAAGCGUUGUUCGGAUUUACUGGGCGUAAAGGGCGCGUAGGCGGCCACCGCAAGUCGACUGUGAAAUCUCCGGGCUUAACCCGGAAAGGUCAGCCGAUACUGCGGGGCUAGAGUGCAGAAGGGGCAACUGGAAUUCUCGGUGUAGCGGUGAAAUGCGUAGAGAUGUGGAGGAACACCAGUGGCGAAGGCGGCUUUUUGGUCUGUAACUGACGCUGAGGCGGCGAAAGCGUGGGGAGCAAACAGG
rnacentral:rRNA from 1 species